GCCCGCGCGUGCGCAGCGUGUGCUGGGCUCAGGCCUCCGCGGGCCGCUCCUCUCGUGGCGCUGCGGGGCACGGGGUCGAGGUUGUCCCCUGGAGCGCGCGCAUGCACAGCCCCUCCUGUCCCUGGCGUUGCGUGAGUGUCCCGAGGAUUGUGUCGGCACACGCUUAGUGAUCCCCUCCAGUAAGGGGCUACGUCUGUGUGGGCCCAAGCCUACAGCACCCCGUGCAUACCAAAUACGCCUGCUCUGCAUCUCAAGACCCCGUUCUGGGGCUGGGCUGGUGACCUGUAGGAAGCAGGUGCCGCACAGGAUGGGAUUUCUUUCUUGCUUUGGGUUUUAUUUUUUUUUCUAACCUCUUAAAAGCUAGAGCAUUAUAACCCAGACCGCUGCCUUAACUGGCACUUCCAUCUUGAACUGUUGAAGCCAGUAAGAAUGCCAGAGCUGCCCUGCGAUCUUCAUUCAACCCCCGUCUGCGUAGCCUUUAUAGUAUGGUCCUCAAUAAACUGAUUGCAGCCUGCUCCACAGAAGCCCUCUUGUUGUUCAGGACACAGCUUGAGCCAACUCACCAACCCCAGUCACUGUGCUACCUGUAUGCACCCCAAUGAGGACCUGGAUUUUGGGCUGGGAUUAUACCCAGAAACCCUUCUUGGGCCACCUCAGAUCACACCUCUGUGCCACCGGGGGAUGCUUCUGGACAUCUCUGACUAGAGAUUUGCCUGUCGCAAAAUGCAGUUUUGCUGUGCCAGGCUGCCAACAAACAGCACCCCAGCCACUGCUAAAUACAUGGAACUGAAGGGAGCUGGAUUUUGGGCUGGGAUUAUAGCUGGAAAUCCAUCCUGGACCACCCCAGAACAUGUCUCUGUGCCAUCGCGGUACUGUCCUGGACAUGUUUGAGCAGAGACUUGUCUGGCCCAAAGCAUGGUUUGGCUGUGUCAGGCUGCCAACACACACCACCCCCCAGAUACUGUGAUAAGUAUCUGGAACUGAAUAAGAACCUGGAUUUUGGGCUGGGAUUAUACCCAGAAAUCCUUCUUGGGCUACACCAGACCGCACAUCUGUGGCACCGGGGGACUGUCCUGGACAUCUCUGACCAGAGACCUGCCCGGCCCAAAGUUCAGUUCAGCUGUGCCAGGCUGCCAACAGACAGCACCCCAGCCACUGUGCUAAGGAUCUGGAACCAAAUAAGGAACUGGAUUUUGGGCUGGGAUUAUACCCAGAAUCCCUUCUUGGGCCACCCCAGACCAUGUCCCUGUGCUACCAGGGGACUCUCCUGGACAUCUCUGAAUAGAGACUUCCCUGGCCCAAAGCACAGUUUGGCAGUGCCAGGCUGCCUAGAGGCAGUACCCCAGCUGCUGUGCUAAGUAUAAGGAACUGGAGUUUGGGCUGGGAUUAUACCCAUAAACCCUUCUUGGGCCACCCCAUACAAAACCUCUGUGGCACUGGAGGACUCUCCUGCAGAUCUCUGACCAGAGAUUUGCCCGGCCCAAAAUGAGGUUUGGCUGUGCCAGGGUGCCAACUAACAGCACCCAAGCCACUGACCUAAGUGUAUGGAACCGAGUAAGGAACUGGAUUAUGGGCUGGCAUUAUACCCAGAAAUUCUUCUUGGGCCACUCCAGACCACACCUCGGUACCACCAGGGGAUGUUUCUGGACAUCUCUGAAUAGAGGCCUGCCCAGUUCCAAAGUGCGGUUUGGCCGUACCAGGCUGCCAAAACACAGCACCCCAGCCACUGUGCUAAAUUAAUGGACCUGAAUAAGGAAUUGGAUUUUGGGCUGGUAUUAUAGCUAGAAGUUCUUCUUAAACCACCCCAAACCAUGUCUGUGUGCUACUGGGGAAUGCUUCUGGGCACCUCUGACCAGAGAUUUGCCCGGCCCAAAGCAUGAUUUGGCCGUGCCAAGGUGCCAACAGACAGGACCCCAGCCACUGUGCUAAGUAUAUGGAACUAAAUAAGGAACUGGAUUUUGGCCUGAGAUUAUACCCAAAAAUUCUUCCUGGGCCACCCCAGACUAUGUCUGUGCCACUGGGGGACUCUCGUGGACAUCUCUGAACAGAGACUUGCCUGGCCCAAAGCGUGGUUUGGCUGUGCCAGGCUGCCAACAGACAGCACCCCAGACACUGUGCUAAAUAUAUGGACCUGGAAUUUGGGCUGGGAUUAUACCCAUAAUUCCUUUUUGGGCCAAAUCUGGGUAUAAUCCCAGCCCAUAAUCCAGUUCCUUAUUCAGGUGCAUAAAGUUAGCACAGUGGCUGGGAUGCUGUCUGUUGGCAGCCUGGCAUGGCUGAACUGCACUUUGGGCUGGGCAAGUCUCUGGUCACAGACAUCCAGGAUAGUCUCCUGGUGGCAUAGAGGUGUGGUCUGGGGUGGCCCAAGAAGGAUUUCUGGGUAUAAUUCUAGCCCAAAAUCCAGUUCUUUAUUCAGUUCUAUUUAUUCAGCACAGUGUCUUGGGGGUUGGUGACAGUUGGCAACCUGGCGCGGCUAAACCGCAUCUUGGGCCGGGCAAGUCUAUUCAGAGAUGUCCAGAAGAGCCCCUCGGUGCCAGAGAGGUGUGGUCUGGGGUGGCCCAAGAAGGAUUUCUGGGUAUAAUCCCAGCCCAAAUUCCAGUUCCUUAUUCAGGUCCAGAUACUUAGCACAGUGUCUGGGGUGCUGUGUUUUGGCAGCCUGGUACAGCCAAACCACGCUUUGGGCUAGGCAAGUCUCUAUUCAGAGAUGACCAGAAGCAUCCCCUGGUGGCACCGAGGUGUGGUCUGGGGUGGCCUAAGAAGGAUUUCUGGGUAUAAUCACAGCCCAUAAUCCAGUUCUUUAUUCAGUUCCAUAUAUUUAGCAUGGUGGUUUAGGUGCUGUCUGUUGGCAACCUGGCACGGCCAAGCUGCGCUUUGGGCCAGGCAAGUCUCUCGUCACAAAUGUCCAGGACAGUCCCCCAAUCGUGCAGAUGUAUUUUGAUGGGUGGUCCAAGCAGAAUUUCUAGCCAUAAUCCCAGCCCAAAAGCCAGUUCCUUAUUCAAGCCAUUAUACUUGGUAUAGUGGGCAUGGGGGCUGUUAGCUGGCAACCUGGCAUGGCCAAACCGUGCUUUGGGCCAGGCAGGACUGUGGUCAUGUUUCUUUGGGACAAUCCCCCAGUGGCAUCGCCACAAAAUUUGGGGUGGUCUAAAUAGUAUUUUUUCCCAUAAUCCCAUCCUAAUCUGACUUUUGUUUAGGGCUCUGUACUUAAUGUGAGACAUUAUUUUACUUAUUAAUUAGUAUAUAUGCAUAGCUAAUGAUAUUCUGUCUCUUUAGGAUGUGUAAUUCAUUAAUAACACAUUUUUAUUGGGUCUAGAUGAGCUUUGAAAAAGGAUCUGGGAACCGGGAAUAAGGAACCAGGAAUAAGGAAUAGGAAACUGGGAAUAAGGAACCAACUUCAGUCUCAUCCCAGUCGGAAGAUAAUGUACUAGGCCUGUGCGAGUCGUCAGUGAUCCGAUCCGGCUUCGGGUCCAGCCACUUCGGAUGCCCGCGAUCCGAUCCGGAGCUCCAGACCGGGUUUCUCGAUCCAGCCGAAGCAGUUCCGAAGCUUUGGAGCCACCUUGGAGAUCCGGCCAUAGGGUAUAAUGGGGAAUCAAUGAAAUAUCUAUAACUUUGUUGUUUUUUGUCCGUUUUGUAUGAAACUUGCAGGGAUUGUAGCCUCUGCUGAGAGCAUGAAACCUGUCAAGUUUCAAGAAGAUUGGUAUAGGGGUUUGGGCGGAACUGUACCCCAAAUUCAUGAAAGCCAAACUCAUGUCACAACUGUGUUACAACACAGGGGGGUCAAAACUGCAGGGCUGGUAGGUCUUACUGAGGCCACAAAGUCUGCCAAGUUUCAAGAGGAUCCGUGCAGGGGUUUGGGGGGAACUGCACCUCAAGCUGUGGACAAGCAAAACUCGUGCCAUGGGUGACACUGGGUGUGUUAGGCGCAGCAGGGUGACAGCUGCAGGGAUGGUGGCCCAUGCUGAGGCCACAAAGUCUGCCAGCUGUCAAAGAGAUCGGUGCAGGGGGGUUCUGGGGCCUGGCACCCCUAGCUCCUGACAGGCAAAACUCGAACCAAGACUGUGUCUUUCUUGCGGCAGUUGAUUGUAUUGAUUCUUUCCUCUCCUUAGCCUGGUUUUGUACGUGCUAAUUGAUGCUCGUUAAGUCGUUAUGUAAUAGCUAGGUCCUGUGUGUUGAGCUGGUCCCUGAGUCCCUGGUCCCUGAGUGAAUCAUGAUUGAUUGAUUGAUUGGUAACUGGUAAUACAGCAACUUAGCAGCCAGACCUACAGUAGUGUCUCCCCUCCCUGCCCCAAGACAGACACAGUCGGUCCCACAAGCCCCCAUGGCACCAGUUUUGCUUGUCCACUGCUUGAGGUGCAGUUCCCCCCAAACCCCUGCACCAAUUUUCUUGAAACUUGGCAGUCUUCACCCUCGCUGCAGACCCUACCACCCCUGAAAAUUUCAUCCAAAUCAAACAAAAAACAACAAAGUUAUAGAUAUUUUAUUGUUUCCCCAUUAUACCCUAUGACCGGAUGUCCGAGGUGGCUCCGAAGCUCUUCGGGAGCUCCGAACUGCUUCAGGAAGCUGAACGAGGCCAACGCUUCGACUCGGAUGUGCUGCUUCGGACCCCAAAGCGUCCGAAGCUUCUCCGGAUCUGAAGCUCUGUCCGAAGCUUUGCACAGCCCUAUAAUGUACUGAUGUGAUGGGGAAUUCAGUCAUUCCACUACUGAAUAAACCCAAUGUAAACCCAAAAGUUCCUUAGUUUAACUGCACAUUCAAAUUCAGUAGGAUGUUGUUUCACAGAUAAAGGUGUUUGCAUACCAUUCCAGGAGGUUGUGUUGCUCAUAUGUGUUGCUCUUGUGCCUCAUAAAUUGUGACUGUAACCAGAGAGGCAAGGUUUCAAAGUAUGUACCAGUCUUCACUUCAAACAGGGAUACAGUAGUGUUGUUUGAUAUGAAGAAUGUAGUGUAAGCCUCCAAAUUACAACACUUUCUCUCAGAAUAAAAUUAACUUUCCUAAACA